GCUAACCAGCUCUUCUACUCAGCGGAGGGAGGUACCACAUGAUUUUUCUUCCUCUUUCUUUACAACCAAUCAAUACAAAGCGGCCACUGAACUUCAAUCGUGCAUUGUUCCAACUGAUUUCCGGAUCCUUCACAUUAACUGGCUCUCAGCUGCAGCUGGGAAGGGGGGCUGAAGGGUAGGGAGCCCUGGCCCACCUGCAUCAGAGGCCUGGAAGCAGUGAGCCAUGCAGACUCAAUCAUGAUCACUAUCUGGGCAACAGGACUCUGGCUGGAGCCUCGCAGAAGGUCCUGUUUACAGUAAUAACAGCACCAGGCCAGGCUGUCUGAACAGAGGCAAGGCGCCUGGGGCUAGAAUCCACACACACAGCCUCCAUCUGCGCCUUAUCUACCCAGUAAGCC
rnacentral:lncRNA from 1 species